GCACCGCGGGAAAACGUGCAGACCAAAGCACGUACACCUAUAGGGUCGGCCUUCUGAGAGGUUCUCUGUCAUGCGGAUUUCAGUGCUGCAUGCACUCCACUAAAGAAUCCGUGUCAAUGUCGGAAACGAGUAACGUUACGCGCAGCGAAUGCUCCGUUAGGACGGAGAAAACUCAUCUAGUCCGCAAGCCACGCAUCGGUCGUAUGCCUCUUGUGCUCGUUUCUGCCUGAAUCGAGACCAGACAAGAUCACGAUAGGAACAGGUGAAGGCUGCUCUUCGUCGGUGACUCUUAUCCAAGUGUUCUUCCUUGAUUGUACGGAAUCUGUGCCCUUCGAUCAAAAUGGCAGCGGCGUAGCCAAAUCGAGAAAUGGGCAUGAGCGCCGCCUUGGUAUCAGAUUUACCCGCCAUGGGUCCUUCCCGCCGUUGACGCGCACCUAGCGUCGCUCGUACUCUCCUCUGUGCAAUGGGAGGGGCGCGAAGCAGGAAUGGACCGAGAGUGUAUGGCGACGGCACAGACAAGCAAGGUUGCGAAAGUUUCUGUUGAUGUCUGACACAAGAAACACGAAAGCAAAUAAAGGCCAUUAUGAAACAGGUGGCGUAUUACGAGUUGGAGGGCUUUGAAAACAUGUUUCUCUUUUCGCUAGCGUUCUGGGCACGAUUGCCCUUUCCUGCACGCAUGUAUCAUCAACACACGCAGUAAGGCGGAAUGCAAUCCACUCAAAGUUCCCCGCACGAAGGUAGCAACGCGCAUCGUACCCUCUCGCCCAGUUGACACGCGCGCAUGGCUGUGUGCAUUCCCUCACCUGCGGCGACAACAACUUACUCGCCGAAGGAAACAAAACACCAAUACUGUUAUCCCUACGUCCCGGUUCGAGGAUAUUGCUAGGCGCACUGCACCAAGGUUACGCCCUGGUGAGAAGGGCUGUGGGG
rnacentral:misc_RNA from 1 species